rnacentral:rRNA from 1 species
CAUGCCGCGUGCAGGCAUGACUGCCCUAUGGGUUGUAAACUGCUUUUGUACGAGAAGAAACCCCCGAUCGUGAUCGGGGCUGACGGUACCAUACGAAUAAGCAUGGGAUAACUCCGUGUCCAGCAGCCGCGGUAAUACGGAGGAUGCAAGCGUUAUCCGGAUUCAUUGGGCUUAAAGGGUGCGCUUGCGGAAUAUUAAGUCAGUGGUGAAAUCCUGCAGCUUAACUGUAGAACUGCCAUUGAUACUGAUAUUCUUGAAUAUAGUUGAGGUGGGCGGAAUGUGUACUGUAGCGGUGAAAUGCUUAGAUAUUACACAGAAGACCAAUUGCGAAGGCAGGUCACUAAACUACUAUUGACGCUGAGGCACGAAAGCGUGGGUAGCAAACAGGAUUAGAUACCCUGGUAGUCCACGCUGUAAACUAUGAUCACUCGCUGUUGGCAAUACAUCGUCAGCGGUUGAGCGAAAGCCUUAAGUGAUCCACCUGGGGAGUACGGUCGCAAGAUUGAAACUCAAAGGAAUUGACGGGGGUCCGCACAAGCGGAGGAACAUGUGGUUUAAUUCGAUGAUACCCGAGGAACCUUACAUGGGUUUCAAUGCAGAGCGACGUCCGCCGAAAGGUGGAUUCCUUCGGGCGAUCUGCUAGGUGCUGCAUGGUCGUCGUCAGCUCGUGCCGUGAGGUGUCGGAUUAAGUCCCAUAACGAGCGCAACCCUUAUCGUUAGUUGCCACCGGGUAAUGCCGGGGACUCUAACGAAACUGCCGGUGUAACCGUGAGGAAGGUGGGGAUGACGUCAAAU